GGCCUGCUACUGUAUGUGAGAUUGAGUUUCUCACAAAAAAACUCCCUCUCCAUCCAAACCGUCCUCAAAAACCUUCUCCAGGCACAGGUCGGUGCGCCGGCUCCCAGGACAGAGGCUAUGUUGUCUUGUCGAAAAGCCAUGAGUGCUCGGGGUCUCUGUAUAGCCGAGGACAUUAUCAGGGGAUGAGGAAUCGACACGGGCUGUUGGAACACUGAUGGUAUUUCUUCCUAUUAGAGGUCGUGGAUAUAACGAACCUUAUCUGAUCCAUGAUCAAAAGAGGGCUGUGAAAGUUCUCUAUGGCUCGGCCAAUCACUGGUCUCGUGAGUGUCAGGUUUCCCUUUCAUCAAACCACAGAGCUGGAAAAUCCACUUGGGUCUCUCGGGCUGGCCAAUGACACAGAGGCUGCUGCCAAGCUGGCCAAUGGGACAGAGGCAUUUUUUUCCAACCAGUCAGAAGUGAAACAGUCCAACUGAAGACUAUGGAACCAUGGAGAUGGCGGCAAGACCACCAUUCUGUCCUUAAUAAUCAACUCGAAUAUGUAGGCUACAUUUUGUUUGAGAAAUUCAUUUCUGAGUUAAAAGGGACAGUCUUCAGUUGAAACAAUUACAAAGUGGACACCCCGCCUCUGUAUUGGUAAAAAAAAAAACGGAGGGAAGGGCCUGGAGAAAUGUAACCACUCUAAAAUGCAUAGAUAGCAUGGAUGCAAGGACUGACCACCCAAUAUAUCAAAAAUAGUUUUAAGCAUGUUUUGUCGCUAAAUAUGUGUAUACCAAUACAAUUGGUUUUGGUUUGUUUGUUUACAUUUGUAAUGUUUACAAACAUUGGAGUAAAACAAGCUUAUAUUUUG